rnacentral:rRNA from 1 species
UGUACACACCGCCCGUCACACCAUGGGAGUGGGUUGCACCAGAAGUAGCUAGUCUAACCUUCGGGGGGACGGUUACCACGGUGUGAUUCAUGACUGGGGUGAAGUCGUAACAAGGUAGCCGUAUCGGAAGGUGCGGCUGGAUCACCUCCUU